UACGUAGGGGGCAAGCGUUGUCCGGAAUCAUUGGGCGUAAAGCGCGUGUAGGCGGCUAGGUAAGUCUGCUCUGAAAGCCCGGGGCUCAACCCCGGGAGGCGGGUGGAUACUGUCUAGCUCGAGUCCGGAAGAGGAGUGUGGAAUUCCUGGUGUAGCGGUGAAAUGCGCAGAUAUCGGGAAGAACACCCGUGGCGAAGGCGGCUCUCUGGGACGGUACUGACGCUGAGACGCGAAAGCGUGGGGAGCGAACAGG
rnacentral:rRNA from 1 species